rnacentral:rRNA from 1 species
AUUGAACGCUGGCGGCAGGCCUAACACAUGCAAGUCGAGCGGAUGAAGGGAGCUUGCUCCUGGAUUCAGCGGCGGACGGGUGAGUAAUGCCUAGGAAUCUGCCUGGUAGUGGGGGAUAACGUCCGGAAACGGGCGCUAAUACCGCAUACGUCCUGAGGGAGAAAGUGGGGGAUCUUCGGACCUCACGCUAUCAGAUGAGCCUAGGUCGGAUUAGCUAGUUGGUGGGGUAAAGGCCUACCAAGGCGACGAUCCGUAACUGGUCUGAGAGGAUGAUCAGUCACACUGGAACUGAGACACGGUCCAGACUCCUACGGGAGGCAGCAGUGGGAAAUAUUGGACAAUGCGCGAAAGCCUGAUCCAGCCAUCCCGCGUGUGUGAAGAAGGUCUUCGGAUUGUAAAACACUUUAAGUUGGGGGGAAGGGCAGUAAGUUCAUACCUUGCUGUUUUGACGUUACCAACAGAAUAAGCCCCGGCUAACUUCGUG